AGCAGCCGCCGCGGGAAUACGUAGGUCCCGAGCGUUGUCCGGAUUUAUUGGGCGUAAAGGGAGCGCAGGCGGUUUAGUAAGUCUGAAGUUAAAGGCAUUGGCUCAACCAAUGUAUGCUUUGGAAACUGUUAGACUUGAGUGCUGAGGGGGAGAGUGGAAUUCCAUGUGUAGCGGUGAAAUGCGUAGAGAUGUGGAGGAACACCAGUGGCGAAGGCGACUCUCUGGUCUGUAACUGACGCUGAGGAGCGAAAGCGUGGGGAGCGAACGGGAUUAGAUACCCCUGUAGUCCCUGUCUCUUAUACA
rnacentral:rRNA from 1 species